GCCUGGCUGGCUCAGUCGGUAGGGCAUGGGACUUUUAAUCUCAGGGUCAUGAGUUCAAACCCUAUGUCAGGUG